AAAGUUCAGAAAGAUUAUGUGCUCACCAUCAUGUGGUCCAGAUCUGUGCCCAGAAUACCUGAUUCCUAAGCCCAUGUGAGUUCUUCCGUACCACACCACCUUCUUCAAAGAAUGAGGAGGAAGUAUAGAGGAAGAAAAGUGAAAAACGAAAUGAGUUCUCUGAAAUUCAACACAGGGUCUGUCAUGUUCAGAACAGGAUUGGCUGGGUGAAGGGGUGUGGCACCAGUAACCCUCAGGAAUACAGGCCACAGAGCUAAUGAAGAGCCCCAAGGAAAGAAAGACCUACCCAUCGCUCUGAAUCCUCUCCCCCACCAUGCCACAGACCUGAGGGCACGUGACCCAGGAAUGUGCAUCUGAAGAUAAUACUACCUUCAGAGAACUCUACUUAUAGCCCAGCUGGAUCUGUAUAAAUAGGAAAGUAAUGGUAGAGAAACUGCACAGACAUGGAUAAGCAGUCCUGCCAGUUGGUCAAUGACUUCGGGUGUUUUCAACCAGAUGC